UAGGGAAUCUUCGGCAAUGGGGGGAACCCUGACCGAGCAACGCCGCGUGAGUGAAGAAGGUUUUCGGAUCGUAAAGCUCUGUUGUUAAGGAAGAACGAGUGUGAGAAUGGAAAGUUCAUACUGUGACGGUACUUAACCAGAAAGGGACGGCUAACUACGUGCCAGCAGCCGCGGUAAUACAUAGGUCCCGAGCGUUGUCCGGAUUUAUUGGGCGUAAAGCGAGCGCAGGCGGUUAGAUAAGUCUGAAGUUAAAGGCAGUGGCUCAACCAUUGUAGGCUUUGGAAACUGUUUAACUUGAGUGCAGAAGGGGAGAGUGGAAUUCCAUGUGUAGCGGUGAAAUGCGUAGAUAUAUGGAGGAACACCAGUGGCGAAGGCGACUCUCUGGUCUGUAACUGACGCUGAGGCUCGAAAGCGUGGGUAGCAAACAGG
rnacentral:rRNA from 1 species